rnacentral:rRNA from 1 species
UACAGAGGGUGCAAGCGUUAAUCGGAAUGACUGGGCGUAAAGGGUGCGUAGGUGGUUGAUUAAGUUUCAUGUGAAAUCCCCGGGCUCAACCUGGGAACUGCAUGGGAAACUGGUUGACUAGAGUAGAGUAGAGGUGAGUGGAAUUCCCGGUGUAGCAGUGAAAUGCGUAGAGAUCGGGAGGAACAUCAGUGGCGAAGGCGACUCACUGGACUCAUACUGACACUGAAGCACGAAAGCGUGGGGAGCAAACAGG